GCUGGGAAGAGGAAGAAAGAGAGAGCUCAAGAGCACUGGGAAUGGGAACAUGGAGGAAAGCCCUGCUUGUUUGUUUGCACCUCUAGUGUUGGAGGUGCAAGUAUUAUGCAUGGAUACUUUCCUGAUGCCUCCCAUUCCUACUGUUGUUGUGCACUCCUUCCUCUUCCUUUUGGAU
rnacentral:pre_miRNA from 1 species